rnacentral:rRNA from 1 species
GAUGAACGCUGGCGGCGUGCCUAAUACAUGCAAGUCGAGCGAACGGACGAGAAGCUUGCUGCUCUGAUGUUAGCGGCGGACGGGUGAGUAACACGUGGAUAACCUACCUAUAAGACUGGGAUAACUUCGGGAAACCGGAGCUAAUACCGGAUAAUAUUUUGAACCGCAUGGUUCAAAAGUGAAAGACGGUCUUGCUGUCACUUAUAGAUGGAUCCGCGCUGCAUUAGCUAGUUGGUAAGGUAACGGCUUACCAAGGCAACGAUGCAUAGACGACCUGAGAGGGUGGUCGGCCACACUGGAACUGAGACGCGGUCCAGACUCCUACGGGAGGCAGCAGUAGGGAAUCUGCCGCAAUGGGCGAAAGCCUGACGGAGCAACGCGGCGUGAGUGAUGAAGGUCUUCGGAUCGUAAAACUGUGUUAUGAGGGAAGAACAUAUGUGGAAGUAACUGUGCACAUAUUGACGGUACCUAAUCAGAAAGCCACGGCUAACUACGUG